rnacentral:rRNA from 1 species
UGCGUGAAGUUGGAAUUGCUAGUAAUCGCGGAUCAGCAAGCCGCGGUGAAUACGUUCCCGGGCCUUGUACACACCGCCCGUCACACCAUGAGAGUCGGGAACACCCGAAGUCCGUAGUCUAACCGCAAGGAGGGCGCGGCCGAAGGUGGGUUCGAUAAUUGGGGUGAAGUCGUAACAAGGUAUC